GACGAACGCUGGCGGCGUGCCUAAUACAUGCAAGUUGAGCGCUGAAGGUUGGUACUUGUACCAACUGGAUGAGCAGCGAACGGGUGAGUAACGCGUGGGGAAUCUGCCUUUGAGCGGGGGACAACAUUUGGAAACGAAUGCUAAUACCGCAUAAAAACUUUAAACACAAGUUUUAAGUUUGAAAGAUGCAAUUGCAUCACUCAAAGAUGAUCCCGCGUUGUAUUAGCUAGUUGGUGAGGUAAAGGCUCACCAAGGCGAUGAUACAUAGCCGACCUGAGAGGGUGAUCGGCCACAUUGGGACUGAGACACGGCCCAAACUCCUACGGGAGGCAGCAGUAGGGAAUCUUCGGCAAUGGACGAAAGUCUGACCGAGCAACGCCGCGGGAGUGAAGAAGGGUGUCGGAUCGUAAAACUCUGUUGGUAGAGAAGAACGUUGGUGAGAGUGGAAAGCUCAUCAAGUGACGGUAACUACCCAGAAAGGGACGGCUAACUACGUG
rnacentral:rRNA from 1 species